CGGCAGACACCCAACCGACGGAGCCACCCAGGCGCCCCAGAGCCCAUUCUGAGAGCCUGCUGCCAUGCUGUCCUUGGGGGAGCUCCAUCUUCCAGUUUCCCAGGCGUGUCUGGGACACACUUGGCUUCUCCUUCCUCACUCCGGACACCGGCCUCUCCAGACCUCCUCCUCCAGGCUCCUCGCUGGGUCCUGGGCCCCCGCUCUGGCCUUCAACACUGGCCCCUGUUGCUCCAGCUGAAUUUGGUCAUCUUCUCCAUCUUGGAGGAGAUCCAGCCUCCCCAGGUGCCAGGACCCCACCGGCUGCGGUCAGAGAGACGGCUACUGCUCACAGCUCCAGCCAGUGCAGACCAGGCCCAUGGAGAAAGUCAACUACAAGAUGAAAUCCCAGGUAGCAACCCCGUCUUCUCAGCUGCUCAUGGACCCUCGACGCACCUCCUCCCCUCCCUGCCUAGAGUUCCUUCCCUCCCUCCAUGAUCUACACUGACUGCAAAGCUCUCUCUCUGAAGCCGAGCUCCCCAGGGGCUUGCCUGCCCUGGCGGGCUCUAUGCCGCUGCCAUCACCCCAAGAUGUAGUGUCUUCCAGAUA